UACGGAGGGUGCAAGCGUUAAUCGGCAUUACUGGGCGUAAAGCGCGCGUAGGCGGCUAGAUAAGUCGGAUGUGAAAGCCCCGGGCUCAACCUGGGAACUGCAUACGAUACUGUCUGGCUAGAGUAUGAGAGAGGGAGGUAGAAGUCCACGUGUAGCGGUGAAAUGCGUAGAUAUGUGGAGGAAUAGCGGUGGCGAAGGCGGCCUCCUGGCUUAAUACUGACGCUGAGGUGCGAGAGCGUGGGGAGCAAACAGG
rnacentral:rRNA from 1 species